GCACAUUUGGACUGAAAGGUGCCACACCAUUCUUAUCAGAGAGAGAUUCGAUACAUGUUUAAAACUAUGACAGAAGUUGGUCACCGGUACGCGAUGAGUGAAAUGAAAUUUUUAUUACGGGUAGUUUGUCCCCUUGAUGAAAAAGGGUGGUAAUAAGCAAAUCAUUAUAUUUUUUUAAUGGAGGUAUAAAAAAUGUGCAAGUUGAAGAAUUGAAAAUGCAUGUGUGUACCUAGCCGGUUGUUUAAUUUUGAAUGGAAUUGCAGAUGUACAUAUAUUUUUUAAUGCAGAUUUUGGCUAGUAGACUUAAAAAUCACUGCCGUAAUUCUCAUCAUCUCGUCAGCCUUUGUACUUGGAUAAUAAAGGUCAAAGAACGAAAUUGGAAGAGUAGCGAUGGAGGAACGAAGUUUGGCAGAAAUUGUAGCAAAUUGCCCAUUUAUUAUUGGUGUCAUUACUUGCACGCGAUUCCUUCGUCUCGUCGACAUGUUUCCUCGCCUUUUUGUGUGUGAUGUGAAUGCAUGUGAAUGCAUCCCCGACGUUGGAAAUCAAUCUGAACUAUAUUUCUCCCAGAAUGGAAUUUACAAGUCAUACAAUCAAUAUUUGUUCAUCCACUCGACACUCUCUCUCCCACAACUUUUUGGCAUGAACACCACCUUAAUUUCCAACAAAAAUCUAUCCAAUAUCAAAAGCACUACAUACGUGACGAGGAGUCCAAAUUUCUGAAUCUUUUCACUCACUGCGUGUCUAAUGCAGUGGACGACCGUCAUGUUCUACACUUGACUGGAUGAAGAAACGUGCCUUUAAUAAAGUCGGGAUUAGAAUAUUUA